rnacentral:rRNA from 1 species
GACGAACGCUGGCGGCGUGCUUAACACAUGCAAGUCGAACGGAAAGGCCCCUGCUUGCAGGGGUGCUCGAGUGGCGAACGGGUGAGUAACACGUGGGUAAUCUGCCCUGCACUUCGGGAUAAGCCUGGGAAACUGGGUCUAAUACCGGAUAGGACCACCUGUUGGAUGGUGUGGUGGAGAGUUUUUCGGUGUGGGAUGAGCUCGCGGCCUAUCAGCUUGUUGUUGGGGUAAUGGCCUAUCAAGGCGUCGACGGGUAGCCGGCCUGAGAGGGUGUACGGCCACAUUGGGACUGAGAUACGGCCCAGACUCCUACGGGAGGCAGCAGUGGGGAAUAUUGCACAAUGGGCGGAAGCCUGAUGCAGCGACGCCGCGUGGGGGAUGACGGCCUUCGGGUUGUAAACUCCUUUCGCCAGGGACGAAGCGCAAGUGACGGUACCUGGAGAAGAAGCACCGGCUAACUACGUG